CGACCCGCGCCCCUCCCAAAGAUGGUGAGGUGAAGCUCCCACAGAACCCCGAGGAGCGGCCCCGACUUCUCUCCCACGGCGAGGAGCGGCUUUUCCAGAGCGCUCCAGGAGCGCGGCUUCCCUGGAGCGGAGCCGGGACGGGGGUUUUCCCCGCGCUUCAGCGCAUCCUGAGGGGACGCGCGCCCUGGAUUAAGUAAGGAAAAGCAUUAAGACUUCGCAUAUCACUGAGGCUGAGCAUCAUGAAAGAUCUGGCAAGAGUCAAUUUUUGCCUAAAGAGACGUGUUUGGGAAAGAAAACACAGCUUUCUGCCUAAUUAGACAGGUUUGAGACAGAAAACACAGUUUUACGAAGGGAUAGGUGAAUUAGCAAAGAAAACAACAAAAAAAAGUUGAAAAUCACCAGCGUACCCAGAAAGACACAUUGUAGCAGGCUGGCCUGACUCGCUGAAGCUGUGACACGAGCACCAGAGCUGACAUGAAGAGAGCAUCAGGAGAGCACAUCCACAAACCAAACCACCCCUUUUGGAGACAAGAUGUGAAAUCAGAUGCUGCAAGAGCACACAGCAAUUUCUGGUUGCAAUGAAAUUCUCAACAGACCUUGAAAAACCCUCCGUGCUUCUGACUUCUUCCAGGACAAUUUGGGAGCUCCUGAACCGCUUCUGGGGUCGCAAAAUUCCUUCCAGCGUGAGGAACAGUGAGUCUGAAGGAGCUGCUUGGCAGAGCUCUUCGGGCUGAGUGACUGGGCUGAGCAUUCCCAAGGUAAGGUUCACAUCCCUGCUUUGCCCCAAGUCAAGAUUUCCUCUCUUUGUGCUUUUAGCUCUAAACCAAUUAUUUGUCUCCAGUUUUAUGUGCCUGAUCCUGCAGUCCUGAGGAAGGACCAGUCCAAUAGUUGCCAUUUUCCUUCUCUUUCUCACUUUCCCAUCAGUGCACUCUGCAACUUGAAGCUCUGUAUGCACAGUGUGUCAAACACUCUGAUUUUCAGCUUCAAGAUGAAAUCAGAGAAGGGAUUCUUGUGCUGGGGGGCUUGGUCUAACCUGCUGCUCUGUCCCAGAAUUAACUAAAACCACAGUUCUUCAAGGAUUUUAAUUGUAGUAUUUUUGCUUUUAAAUGCCUGAUGAGGAAAAGCCAUGUCAGUGGGGUGCAGCAUCCUCCCUUAUGCAGGGAAAGAGGUGGGAAAUGGCACAUUUUGAGGCUUCUGUGGAACUGUUUCCUGGGGCUGGAGAGCAGACUCUGCCU